UCCUUCUUCUUGUUUAUACAGYAUAUGGCUUCCAAAGGGUGCUCUGUUGUUCCCUUGUUUUCCAGGACCAUUUGUUUUUCUUUCUAGCUCCCAAAGUAUGUCCCUUGYRUGCAUAUGUGUGUGUGUUUGUCUCCCAGGCUAACGGAGCAUUUCACAGGCCUAAAGGAACUAAAGAGCUCAUCAUUCCCAAGAGUGGCUGAGCAGGGCAACACGUGCGUGGGUGUCUAGGAUGUAUCUCUGUAUCCUGAAGCUGCUGCUUGGACACACUGGAAUUCUGGGGCUGAGUCCCAGCCCUUGUGUGGGCUGUCUGUAUCUCUGAGCUAGAAGUUUCCUGUGGUUCUUCACUAUGAACCUGUUUUGUGCCACCUUUGUCCAGCAAAUACCCCAUGUAGCCCAAUCUAAUAGAAAAGAGCAGUAAUGUGGUCUUCUU